CCUACGGGAGGCAGCAGUGGGGAAUAUUGGGCAAUGGAGGCAACUCUGACCCAGCAACGCCGCGUGAAUGAUGAAGGUCUUCGGAUUGUAAAGUUCUUUUCUAAGGGAAGAAGAAAGUGACGGUACCUUAGGAAUAAGCCUCGGCUAACUACGUGCCAGCAGCCGCGGUAAUACGUAGGAGGCAAGCGUUAUCCGGAAUGACUGGGCGUAAAGGGUGCGUAGGUGGUUUGGCAAGUUGGUAGCGUAAUCCCGGGGCUCAACCUCGGUGCUACUACCAAAACUGUUGAACUUGAGUGCAGGAGGGGUGAAUGGAAUUCCCAGUGUAGCGGUGGAAUGCGUAGAUAUUGGGAAGAACACCAGCGGCGAAGGCGAUUCACUGGACUGUAACUGACACUGAGGCACGAAAGCGUGGGGAGCAAACAGGAUUAGAUACCCGGG
rnacentral:rRNA from 1 species